rnacentral:rRNA from 1 species
AGACGUCUACAUUAGAUACCCGUGUAGUCCCAGCCGUAAACUAUGCGCGUUAGGUGUAUCGGUGACCACGAGUUACCGAGGUGCCGAAGGGAAACCGUGAAACGUGCCGCCUGGGAAGUACGGUCGCAAGACUGAAACUUAAAGGAAUUGGCGGGGAGCACCACAACAGGUGGAGCCUGCGGUUUAAUUGGACUCAACGCCGGGAAGCUCACCGGAUAGGACAGCAGAAUGAUUGCCGGGCUGAAGACCCUGCAUGACUAGCUG